rnacentral:rRNA from 1 species
GAUGAACGCUGGCGGCGUGCUUAACACAUGCAAGUCGAACGGGAUCCCAGGAGCUUGCUCCUGGGUGAGAGUGGCGAACGGGUGAGUAAUGCGUGACCGACCUGCCCCAUACACCGGAAUAGCUCCUGGAAACGGGUGGUAAUGCCGGAUGCUCCAGUUGACCGCAUGUUCCUCUGGGAAAGCUUUUUCGGUAUGGGAUGGGGUCGCGUCCUAUCAGCUUGAUGGCGGGGUAACGGCCCACCAUGGCUUCGACGGGUAGCCGGCCUGAGAGGGCGACCGGCCGCAUUGGGACUGAGAUACGGCCCAGACUCCUACGGGAGGCAGCAGUGGGGAAUAUUGCACAAUGGGCGCAAGCCUGAUGCAGCGACGCCGCGUGCGGGAUGACGGCCUUCGGGUUGUAAACCGCUUUUGACUGGGAGCAAGCCCUUCGGGGUGAGUGUACCUUUCGAAUAAGCACCGGCU